GUUAUAUGGUCAAGCGAAUAAGCGCACACGGUGGAUGCCUAGGCGGUCAGAGGCGAUGAAGGACGUGGUAGCCUGCGAAAAGUGUCGGGGAGCUGGCAACAAGCUUUGAUCCGGCAAUAUCCGAAUGGGGAAACCCACUGCUUCGGCAGUAUCCUGCAGUGAAUUCAUAGCUGCUGGAAGCGAACCCGGUGAACUGAAAUAUCUAAGUAACCGGAGGAAAAGAAAUCAACCGAGAUUCCCUAAGUAGUGACGAGCGAACGGGGAGCAGCCCUUAAGCUGGAAUGGCUUUAGAAAAACAAUCUGGAAAGAUUGGCCAUAGAAGGUGAUAGCCCUGUAUUUAAAAGGGCCACUCCAGUGAAGACGAGUAGGGCGGGGCACGUGAAACCCUGUCUGAAUAUGGGGGGACCAUCCUCCAAGGCUAAAUACUCCUGACCGACCGAUAGUGAACCAGUACCGUGAGGGAAAGGNGAAAAGAACCCCGGAGAGGGGAGUGAAAUAGAUCCUGAAACCGUGUGCGUACAAGCAGUAGGAGCUCGCAAGAGUGACUGCGUACCUUUUGUAUAAUGGGUCAGCGACUUACUGUUCGUGGCAAGCUUAACCGUAUAGGGGAGGCGAAGGGAAACCGAGUCUGAUAAGGGCGCAUAGUCGCGGGCAGUAGACCCGAAACCGGGUGAUCUAGUCAUGGCCAGGGUGAAGGUGCCGUAACAGGUACUGGAGGCCCGAACCCACGUCUGUUGCAAAAGACGGGGAUGAGCUGUGAUUAGGAGUGAAAAGCUAAUCGAACCCGGAGAUAGCUGGUUCUCCUCGAAAGCUAUUUAGGUAGCGCCUCAUAUGUAUCCUCUCGGGGGUAGAGCACUGUUAUGGCUAGGGGGUCAUCGCGACUUACCAAACCAUUGCAAACUCCGAAUACCGAGACGGACUGUAUGGGAGACACACGGCGGGUGCUAACGUCCGUCGUGAAAAGGGAAACAACCCAGACCCACAGCUAAGGUCCCAAAUUCACUGCUAAGUGGAAAACGAUGUGGAAAGGCAUAGACAGCCAGGAGGUUGGCUUAGAAGCAGCCACCCUUUAAAGAAAGCGUAAUAGCUCACUGGUCGAGUCGGUCUGCGCGGAAGAUUUAACGGGGCUAAGCAGUGAACCGAAGCUUGGGGUGCAUAAAACUUGUUUUAUGCGCGGUAGAGGAGCGUUCCGUAAGCCUGCGAAGGUGGAUUGAGAAGUCUGCUGGAGGUAUCGGAAGUGCGAAUGCUGACAUGAGUAACGAUAAUGCGGGUGAAAAGCCCGCACGCCGAAAGCCCAAGGUUUCCUUGCGCAACGUUAAUCGACGCAGGGUUAGUCGGUCCCUAAGGCGAGGGCGAAAGCCGUAGUCGAUGGGAAGCAGGUUAAUAUUCCUGCACCUCGCGUGAGUGCGAUGGAGGGACGGAGAAGGUUAGGUGUACCGGGCGUUGGUUGUCCCGGGGAAAGGCGGUAGGUUUGGAUCUUUGGCAAAUCCGGGAUCCUUUAAGACCGAGCACCGAGACGAGCCUUUAUGGCGAAGUCACUGAUACCACGCUUCCAGGAAAAGCUCCUAAGCUUCAGCUCACGAAGACCGUACCGUAAACCGACACAGGUGGGUAGGAUGAGAAUUCUCAGGCGCUUGAGAGAACUCGGGUGAAGGAACUAGGCAACAUGGCACCGUAACUUCGGGAGAAGGUGCACCCUUUUUGGUGGCUCGUGCGAGCUAUAGCUGAAGAGGGUCGCAGAAACCAGGCCGCUGCGACUGUUUAUCAAAAACACAGCACUCUGCAAACACGAAAGUGGACGUAUAGGGUGUGACGCCUGCCCGGUGCUGGAAGGUUAAUUGAUGGGGUCAGCCGCAAGGCGAAGCUCUUGAUCGAAGCCCCAGUAAACGGCGGCCGUAACUAUAACGGUCCUAAGGUAGCGAAAUUCCUUGUCGGGUAAGUUCCGACCUGCACGAAUGGCGUAACGACAGCGGCGCUGUCUCCACCCGAGACUCAGUGAAAUUGAAAUCGCUGUGAAGAUGCAGCGUUCCCGUGGCAAGACGGAAAGACCCCGUGAACCUUUACUAUAGCUUUACACUGAACGUUGAGUUCGUCUGUGUAGGAUAGGUGGGAGGCUAUGAAACUGUGGCGCUAGCUGCAGUGGAGCCAUCCUUGAAAUACCACCCUGUCGUGCUUGACGUUCUAACCUAGGUCCGUUAUCCGGAUCAGGGACCGUGUAUGGUGGGUAGUUUGACUGGGGCGGUCUCCUCCUAAAGAGUAACGGAGGAGCACGAAGGUACGCUCAGCGCGGUCGGACAUCGCGCACUGUGUGCAAAGGCAUAAGCGUGCUUGACUGCAAGAUCGACGGAUCAAGCAGGUACGAAAGUAGGUCUUAGUGAUCCGGUGGUUCUGUAUGGAAGGGCCAUCGCUCAACGGAUAAAAGGUACUCCGGGGAUAACAGGCUGAUACCGCCCAAGAGUUCAUAUCGACGGCGGUGUUUGGCACCUCGAUGUCGGCUCAUCACAUCCUGGGGCUGUAGUCGGUCCCAAGGGUAUGGCUGUUCGCCAUUUAAAGUGGUACGCGAGCUGGGUUCAGAACGUCGUGAGACAGUUCGGUCCCUAUCUGCCAUGGGCGUUGGAAGUUUGAGAGGGGCUGCUCCUAGUACGAGAGGACCGGAGUGGACGAACCUCUGGUGUUCCGGUUGUCACGCCAGUGGCAUUGCCGGGUAGCUAUGUUCGGAAGCGAUAACCGCUGAAAGCAUCUAAGCGGGAAGCGCGCCUCAAGAUGAGACUUCCCGGGGCACAAGCCCCCUAAAGGAACCAUGUAGACUACGUGGUUGAUAGGUCAGGUGUGUAAGUACAGCAAUGUAUUGAGCUAACUGAUACUAAUGAUCCGUGCGGCUUGACCAUAUAACCUCA
rnacentral:rRNA from 1 species